GGCUCACUGCAACUUCUGCCUCCCAGGUUCAAGUGAUUCUUCCGCUUCAGCCUCCUGAGUAACUGGGAAUACAGCCUGAGCUGACCAGCGCUUAUCCUCAUGUGACCUUGGGUGAAUUAAUGGACAUCUCUGAACCUCCAUUUUCUCCUGUGUAAAAUAGCAGCUGCAGCAAAAAUGAAAUAUCAAUAAUCUCUGAAAAGAAUUUAGCUCAGUGUUUGGUGAAGAUUGCCUCUCCUGAAGUCUAGAAAAGGGCUGGUUUGUUUGGAAGGCUGUGCCACGUGGCAAGAAGAGAAUAAACAUCUUGGGAAUUCUGGCUGUGCUGUACAUUUGCUGUGUGGCCUUCGGCAAGCUACUGACUUCUCUGAACUCAGGAUCUACAAACUGAGGAUAAGCAACAGGAGAAUCUCUGUGAAGUACUUUAAAAACAGGAGAUGUUUGUCUGAUAGUCUGCACCUCAAAGGAACCAAACGAAUGCAGAGGAUCCCCUGCCACAGGAAUCACUGUCUCCAAUGCCAUGCCUGGCAGGUAAUGUACAUGAGUAAACAGGGUCAGGUGAGGACUGAGGUGAACUGAAAAUUCCAUGCCCUAUUUUAUGAGGACAGCUUCUACCUAGUUCUAACAGGCUGUUAUCAAGAUGAAAUGUGAGCCCACAGUUGAAUGCCACUAGAUAUUUAAAGAGAAAAGCUACAAAAUUUUUACAAUUUCUUUUUUUUUUUUGAGAUGGAAUCUCGCUCUGUCGCCAGGCUGGAGUGCCGUGGUGCAAUCUCGGCUCACUGCAAUCUCUGCCUCCUGGGUUCAAGCGAUUCUCCUGCCUCAGCCUCCCGAGUAGCUGGGACUACAGGCGCACACCACCACACCCAGCUAAUUUUUUGUAUUUUUAGUAGAGAUGAGGUUUCGCCAUGUUGGCCAGGCUGGUCUCGAACUCCUGGCCGCAAGUGAUCCGUCCACCUCGGCCUCCCAAAGUACUGGGAUUACAGAUGUAAGCCACCACGCCCGGCAAUUUUUACAAUUUCUAAUUCAACCCUGUCAUUUGUCAGAAGGAGACAGCAAGACAGAGAAAGGAAGUGCUUUUCCUAAGAUCAUCUGAAUAGAAGGUGCAAAGUGUGGCUGGAAUCCAGAGAUGCCACCUCCUGAUCCAGCUCUUUCCUUUCUUCCUCUCUAUUCAUUAUUGAUUGACUAUCUGGGUUUGUAUUUGCUGUGUCACAAGUUAUCUAAACAUUUAGCAUCUUAUAAUAAGACAUAUUUAUUGUCUCAUAGUUUCUGUUUGUCAGAAUCAGCCCUUGCUUCAGGGUCUCAGACAAAUCGGCAUUCAAGAUGUCAGCCUAUGCUGGGAUUUCAUGUAAAGACUCUACAUGGGAAGAAGCUGUGUCCAGGCUCAGGCGGUUAUUGGGAGGAUUCAGUUCCCUGAGGGCUGUUAGAUUGAGGACCUGAGAUCUUUUCUCACUAUUGGUCAGAGGCCACCCUCCAUUCCUUGCCACCUGGGGCAUUCCAGAUGGCAACUUACUUCAUCGAAGUGUGCAAGCUGAGAAGGCCACAGAGAGAGUCUGCUAGCAAGACGAAAGUCACAAUCUUUUGCAACCCAAUCGUGGAAAUGACAUCCCAUCCCCUUUGCUCUAUUCUAUUUGUUAGGAAGUCACUAGGUCCAGCCCACACUCAAGGGCCUACACUACAGGGACAUGGGGAUAGGGUGGGGACCAUGGGGCUGGGCUAGAAUUCUGCCUACCACAAGGCCUUUUUUUUGAAAAUGGAAAAUUCUCAGUUGUGCUUGAUCUUUCUCUUCUAAACCAGGAAACCACUUUUCAUGGGAGAGGUCAGGGAUCUAUUAAGACAGAAACAAGAGGGGAGGGGAGGGGAGGGGAGGGGAAGGGAGGAGGGAGGGAGGGGAAGGGAGGAGGGAGGGAGGGAGGGAGGAAGGAAGGAAGGAAGGAAGGAAGGAAGGAAGGAAGGAAG